CUUGAAUUCAUAAAACUCGGUUACACAUUUUUUAUAUUUUCAAAAUAUAAAAUUUAAAAUGAUUUUUAUUGCUAUAAGUUAUUUAAUAAAUUUGAACACUUAUGAUUUUCUUAUUAAAACAUGAAAACCUCAUAAGAUUAUUAUUUUUUUUAAAUUUGAAACUUUUUAUAUACAAAAUGGACUAUUAUUCUAGUUUAUAUAGUCUGAUAUUUAAGGAUCGACUAAGCGGAUGUACGGAAGAACGGUGGUUUACCAUCUGAAGAAUCGGGAUCAAAUUACGGUCACACACCUCAAUUUUUCAGAGCGACUUCCUUCCCCAUCUCAACGCAUAGGUCAACUACAUUGCAGGUCUGGCCAACCCGUCAUUAAGCUUCUAAUGGUUCGUUGCCUCAAUCCGUUCAUGCAGAUUCAGCUGUAUAGAAUGUCACAGGCAACCAGUUGCGCUGCGAAUAGCAGAAAAAAGCUAUAAGAGUUAAUAAAACAUUUGUUUUUAUCAUUUAUAUGAAGUAGAGUAGUUAAUCGUCGAUGGCUUGUAUUAUUGUUUGCAUUAAAAUCAUUUGAUUUAUUUUCUCACGUAUUGUUACAUAAUUUAUACAUUAUUUAAAAAAUCGUUAUCAAUAUCGGUUUGUAUAGGCUUAUUAUAAAUGGC
rnacentral:lncRNA from 1 species